AUUGAACGCUGGCGGCAUGCUUUACACAUGCAAGUCGAACGGUAACAGGCCUUCGGGUGCUGACGAGUGGCGCACGGGUGAGUAAUGCAUCGGAACGUGCCCAGCGGUGGGGGAUAACGCAGCGAAAGCUGUGCUAAUACCGCAUGUGAUCUGAGGAUGACAGCGGGGGACCCAGCAGCAAUGUUUGGCCUCGCGCCUCUGGAGCGGCCGAUGUCAGAUUAGGUAGUUGGUGGGGUAAAGGCCUACCAAGCCGACGAUCUGUAGCUGGUCUGAGAGGACGACCAGCCACACUGGGACUGAGACACGGCCCAGACUCCUACGGGAGGCAGCAGUGGGGAAUUUUGGACAAUGGGCGCAAGCCUGAUCCAGCAAUGCCGCGUGCGGGAAGAAGGCCUUCGGGUUGUAAACCGCUUUUGUACGGAACGAAAAGGCUCUGGCUAAUACCUGGGGCUGAUGACGGUACCGUAAGAAUAAGCACCGGCUAACUACGUG
rnacentral:rRNA from 1 species